GACGAACCUUUUCAACAGCCGUCAGUGUGCACAAAUUGUUGCGAAGUUAAGAAGCAAAUCGCGGAAAUAAAUGAAAAACUUGAGGAAAUAAUUCUUUCUCUUGCGGAACAAAAAAUUAUUGUUUCGCAACUGAUGCGGCAACGAGUGGAAAACACAAACGUGGCGAAAUGUUUCCCAAUUAAAGACGAGGAGGCCCUAAAUAUAGUCAACCAAAAUAUUAAUAGUUGUGCUAAGGAUUCCUACAUAAAAGCCAUGAGAUCGUUGUUGCUGCCAGAAGGGGUUUUAAAAAACUUGCGGAGGAUUCUCACAGAUAAGUUUGUUGUGGGAUUUAAUGUUAAAGGCCUUUCUGGAAAAAAAAGCCGUAAACUCCUUUACAUAUUUCGGUGGUGCACUUCAAGAUAUUUUUUCAGAAUCUGGUUAUGCAGAAAUAUUGAUUCCCA